UUACGGCCAUAUCAGGAUGAAACACCAGCUCUCUUACGAUUACCGAAGUUAAGCAACAUCGAGUCAGGUCAGUACCUGAAUGUGUGACUGCUUAGGAAUACCAGGUACUGUAAG